rnacentral:rRNA from 1 species
AUGCUUGACCUUAUUGAGCGUGUUGAGUGGCAGAGCCAUAAGAAACCAGCAGCCGAGCUUCUCCCGCACAUCAAGGAUGCAGUUUAUGAUGCUGAGGACUUUCUUGAUGAGUUCAAAUAUUAUGCACUCAAGUUGAAGCUUGAGGAGAGCAAGAAUUCAGGUGAAGAACACAUGCAUGCUGCCUUUCUAGAGUUCUUCAAAAGUAUCAACAAUUGUGACCACUUCAACAAAGUGAAGGAAAUCCAGAGCGGGCUGGGCGAAACGGCUUAUCAAUCGAAGGAUUUGAGAUUGCAUAAAGCACCAUUGAAGUUUGACAAAUCAAUCAGGCCAGAAACAAGUGCUUUUUCUGAGGUGCCACAAAUAUUUGGCCGUGAAAAAGAACUGAAACACUUGGUUCAAAAGUUAGGAGUACAUACAAGCAAGAGAGGGAGGACCGAGAAUGAAGCCAGAGCGACUGAUUUGUGUGUGCUUCCCAUAUUUGGUAUGGGGGGUGUCGGAAAAACAACUAUUGCACAACAAAUCUGCGAUGAUGCAAAAGUGAAGGAGCACUUUGACUGCAUAAUUUGGACUUGUGUUUCUGAUGAUUUCGACAUAAAGAGGUUAAUUAAAGAGAUUCUGGAGCAGAUGGAACAAGAUACAACAUUUGAUAAUCUGAAUAACCACGUGAGAAAACUGGCUCAUUCUGUGGAAUCUAAGAAGUUGUUACUUGUCCUUGAUGACAUGUGGGGUGAUGCAUUGAGAAAUGGUGGCGCGGAGUGGGACAAAUUUUGCGUACCUUUGAGAAAUGCUCUUCAAGGAAGUAUGAUUUUGGUCACCACUAGAUUUUUUGAGGUUGCUAAUCUAGUCAGCACUGGCAUGAAGAGCUUUGAGUUGGAGGGCUUGCAAGAUGCUAUUUUCUGGGAGUUCUUCAAAUUUUGUGCAUUCGGAUCCAAUAGGAGUUGCAACGACCUAGAGUUGGAGUGCAUUGGAAAAGACAUACUUCCUAAGUUGAAGGGUUCUCCCUUGGCUGCCAAAACUCUUGGACGCUUGUUGCAAAGGGACCUAAGCACAACACAUUGGGAAUCUAUAUUGACAAGUGAGUUGUGGCAAUUAGAACAAGAUGUGGCUGACAUUUUGCCAGCCCUUAGAUUGAGUUAUAUGUACCUACCACCAUUAUUGAAGAAGUGCUUCUCAAUUUGUGCAAUGUAUCCCAAAGAUCACCAAUUUGAUAAAAUGUUUUUAUCAGAUAUUUGGAUAGCACAAGGAUAUGUGGAACCUCAAGAGGCAUCCUUGUGUUUUGAUGAGCUUGUAAAAGGAUCAUUCUUUCAGAGAGCAGCUGAACAAAAUAACAAGUAUGUUAUUCAUGAUUUGAUGCAUGAUACGGCACAGCUGGUCUCAAUGUAUGAAUGCUUCAUCAUAAAACACGCA